UUAGGCGCUCGCUGUAUUAAAAAUUCUCAGAAUUUUAGGGUUAGGUUUAGGGUUUUGAUGCACCCACUUUUAGGGUUUCAUGAAAGAUCUAUUCGUCAUAAAUAUGUCAUUUCAACAAUUGAAGAUUCAUUCUGAUCGAUGAAGGCUAGAGGAGUAUAGCGAUAUGGGAAAUUGCCCUUAGGGUAACUUGAUGCUUAGUUCUAUUUUACUAAUUUUAUUGUCAUCUGGAUAGAUGCUUGUAAGCCCUGAUUCGUAGUUGGGAGUAAGAGAUUACGGUUAAGUUCAUUCUGAUAACGUAAGAAGAACGAAAAUUAACUCAUCUCCCAACAGUGAAGAGGCGUUUAAAGCCUGUUGCAGUAUUAUACAUGGCAUCAGGGUUUCGCGCGAUUCAAUAACAGGUUUUUGUCUAUGUUGUUAUUAAGCUACUAUUUUUCAUUUGAUUGAAUGGUUUCAAGAACAUUUAUAUUUAGUUUUGAAGGAGCGAUGAUUAUAAAGAAAUUCCUCGUUCUGAAUGCUAAGGCAUGAUAGACUUCUUAUCACCCAUAGAAUAUGAGCUCCAACCUUAUUUAUUUUAGUUUUCUAGCGUGUUUUUUUCUUUCUUUUACUUGUUUGAGGAUAUUUAUUUAAGUUCAAAGUAUUCCUUCAUACAAAGGGUAUCUCAAUCAUUUCAAAUUUGUUUCUUAUAUAUAUGCCUUAAUCUGAAAUUUUAAGUGAUUUGUUUCUUAAAAUAACUUCAAAGCUUUAGGCUAAAUUCCUUGGCAAUUCAUUUGUCCGUGCCUAAAUUUGAUGGUUGAUGUAGUCUCCUAAGUUUUUCUGAUGCUGUCUGAAAAUACAUCAUGUGUCUGAUUAUAAGAUUAGAAUAAUAUGUGUGUGACUAUUAAUGUGUCUGGAAAUACAAUAUUAUGGCCCGGACCAUGGAUGAAUAAAGGAAUAUGACUUUGCAAGGGGCAUUAGAGCUCACUUUGGAGUAUUUAGUGUGAUCUCACGGGGACGAAAUAAUUUUUUUAUCAGCUAAUUAAUCCUCAGAAGACAUGGAGUAAGGGAGUGUCUACACUAGAGAAGAUAAUUCCAAAAUCUGUCUUUUGUGUUACAAUAAUCUUUUCCCAGGAGGAAUACUAUCCAUGAUAAAGGAAUGCAAGUUUGCCAGGGAUCGUAGACGUUGGAUUGGAGUAUCUAGAGUGUGAUCAUAAGGGUAUGAAAUAAACAUUUCAUUUUGCUAAUUAUAUCUCAGAAGGAAUGGAGUAGAGGAGUCUUCACAGUGUGCGCUAGAAAAUGUAAUACUAAAUUCAUGUCAACAGUCCAAGUCUUGAGAAGACAGUGGUUUACAAUUAGUAGCAGCAUGGUCUCUAUCAUACCAUCCUAAAUCUGAGAAAAAGCUAUAAGGGAGAAAAUAAGAAUCGAUCCCAAUUCAAGGAAGGAGUUUUGAAAGCUUGACUCAUAUCGGCAGCAUUUCAGGUGGUGUCGAAGUGUUUAAAUCAUGAAAACCAAGGCUUCAUGAGGAUGCACGCUUCCUCCAAGUCCAACCCUGACCAUUAAGAAUAAAAUCCGUAUCCUUAAAAUUCAAACGCUGCAAAAAAUUAUUUUACUCAAUGGCUUAAUUUUAAGAGGGCUCUGUAUUGAACCAAGUUACUUGACAUCCAUUUGUGCAUAUGAAAUACGAGGUCUGAAGUGGUUGAGUGAUAUGUCAAUUCAUUUUUCAGAGGUUUCGGGAUCUUUCCUGCAGUAGGGGUCUUGUAAAGAAAGAAAUCUUAUGUUACUCUUAGUACUUUUUCCUACCUUUCUACGAUUUGUCAAUCUCUGAGUUUUUUAUAUUUAUUAUUAUUGUAUCUUUAAGCAUAAACCAACCAUUUUUAAAAUAAGUCUAAAAUUUCAAAUCAUUCUGAAAUAUUGUAGGAAGGCUCCCACUAUGAAAUGCUGCCUUGAGUACCAUCAUAAAUAUUAUCUCCUUACAAUGUUUGGUACAUUACGUCUACUACAGAGGAUGGCUUCGGAGCAUUUCAGAAGUUUUAAUUCUUCCCUGAUAUUAGCCGGAAGGCCCUCUUUGUUAAAAGCAACUGCAUCAUUAAAGCCUAUUGGUUGGCCACUCGUAGAGACACAGCAGAAGCGAAGGACGUAUUAGGGUUAUGCGAUGGGAGCCGUCGUAAAAAUGCACAAAAUCUUGUUCGCUUCAUGACAUUCUGGAAGCUCUGGGCAAUAGGUGUCUUCAAAUGUCGGAAAGCGGAUGAAAGAGUGUUUUGACGGGGAAUUUUGGGAUAUUUACUAUUGAAUUUUUUUUAUGUUACAACAGUUUAGUUAAAACAAUUUAUCAUUUUUUUUGAAGAAUUUUUGACUUAGCUGCUCCCUUACAUUUAGCUACGACUAACGUAACCUUUUCAUUGGAACUACAAAGGGGACAGAUUAAUUAGGUUUAAGAUUGUUUAGAUAGGGAACUUUGGAUUGAUGGGCUACAACUAACGUAAUCAUUGUUUUGUUCAAAUAAUGGGCUACGACUAACGUAUCUGUUUCAGUGGAACUACAAAGGCAACAGACAGUAGGUUUAAGGUUGUUUAGAUAGGGAAUGUUGGAUUUAUGUGUUUUAUCAUUCCUUCAUGUUAUAGGAUAAGUCAACUUCUUGACCCACCUGGCAUAACAUCCAACUUAGUGUUAUCUAAUGGUCAAUUUUUAUCAAUUCUAGUUAAGAAUGAAAAUAAAAUGGAAAGUAAAAAUCUUAAAAGAGUUAAGAACUAGAAUUAGAUGGAUAAUGUUUAAAGAAGAGUGGGCAGAUGGAAGGUGUUUUGCAGAUUUCUUGAUUAAGAUCCAAGACAUUAAAGGUGAACAUUUUGAGUAAUUUGUUUGAUCAAGAAAAGAUAACAAAAAUUGCAGAUUUCUUGAUUAAGAUCCAAAACAUUAAAGGUGAACAUUUUGAGUAAUUUGGUUGAUUGAGAAAGGUGAACAUUUUGAGUAAUUUGGUUGAUCAAGAAAAGAUAACAAGGUUGAUCAAGAAAAGAUAACAAAGAUUUCAAAAUUGCAGAGACAUUGCAGAUUUCUUGAUUAAGAUCUAGGACAUUAAAGGUGAACGUUUUGAGUAGUUUGUUUGAUCAAGAAAAGAUAACAAAAUUGCAGAUUUCUUGAUUAAGGUCCAAGACAUUACAGGUGAACAUUUCGAGUAAUUCGGUUGAUCAAGAAAAGAUAAGAUUUCUUGAUUAAGAUCCACAUUAGAAAAUUCAAGAUGCAGAAGAAAUUUGGUAGAAAUUUGGUAGUCUCAUGAAUAUGGUACAUUUGUUUAGAUAUAAUGUAACUAUGGUUAGUAUAAUUUGAAUGAAAGGUGGGAUGGACAUUAUGGAUAUAUUAAUUCACCCUCUUCAUUUGGGGAUGAGUUGUAAAUGUCCACCUAAUAACAAACAGGUGACAUGAGCUCGAUGCUUAUCUUUUACAAAGUAGCAGUGGAUGAGUUGUAAAUGUACCCCUAAUAACAAAGAGGUUACAUGAGCUCGAUGCUUAUCUUUUACUAAGUAGGUAGAAAUUUUAAAUUUAGCUCAUACCGGGUUUAAGUAUUUGCAUCUCCUAGUAUUUGGUUACCAAUAUUGAAAUGUGUCGCAAGCAUUAAUCAGAUUUGUCUGGAAAUGUUUAACUGUGUAGAUUUGCUAUGCCAUUUGGUAUGUUGUAUGAAAUUUUUAAAGUACACCUUGAUCUGACAUGCAAUUUUUUUUAAAUAGAAUUUGGUGUGCUGGAACUUUUAAUGCAUUUUGACUAGAGAAGGAUGAAGGUAGUUUCUAAUCGUUGACAGAUUAGAAUAGAUUUGGGAAAGGGAGUUUGUUUUGAGAUUAUAAUAGAAAUGUUUGAAUUUGCCUUAUUAUACAUCGCCUUCACCAUUGCAUCGACUUCACCAUUGCAACGCCUCCUCUAAAUGAAACGAUUCGGCAUACUUUCUGAAAAAAUGGCUAUAUGAACGGAAAAAAAACCCAAAGUGUCCGAGUGCAAAACAGUACGACAUGGGAGGGAUUUCGUUCGUGUGGCCAUUUUUUCUAACAAUAUGCAAUCGGUUUCUCGCGACACAAUCGGUUUCUCGCGACGCAAUCUGUCAGUAUUCUUCAUCUCCAAGUGAGUUUCUUUAUAUUUCAUUUACUUUAUGUAUGUUUUGAGUGAUUUUAAUGCAGAUUGUAGUGAGUUGUAACUGCGUGUUGAUUUGUUGCAGAUGGUCACAGGUUAUGGAAAUUCUUCAGAAGAAGAUUCUCGACAAACUAUCAUCAAAUGCAAUUGACCAGUUUAAAAGGUAGAUAACUUAGGGGCCUUUUCUUGGUAUGGUUGUCAUGGAAGUUCUUCUGAAGAUUCUUGACAAAUUAUCGAUCAAAUGCAAUCGACCAGUUUAAAAGGUAGAUAAAUUAGGGGGUUUUUCUAAUGUGUUCUUCAUUGUCGACUGUAUUUCUAGAAGACUAAUCGUUCAGUUUUUGUUCAGAUGUAAUCGGGAAAAUGGAUAUUUUUUCAAAUAAGUACGCAGAAUUCUAGCAUACAUUAACAGAUUCGUAAUGGAAAGCUUCUCGUAAGGUAGUUUCUUUGCUUCCAGAUUAGAAUAGAGUUGGGAAAGAGAGUUCUUUUCUUGAUUAGAGAAGGACCAAGGUAGAUUCUAAAUUGUUUUGAGACUAGAAUAGAGUUGGGAAACGGGGUUUGUUUUUAGAUUAGAAUAAGGUCGGGAAAGGGACAUUGUAGAAAUGUUUUGAAUUUGUAGACUUGAUCUAGUACUUUGCAUGAACGACUAUUUUCGACUAUUUUCUUCGAUUCACUUUAGAUGCCCCUGUUUGUGUUGUCAUUUUAUAUCAUUUCAAUGGAUAUACACCUAUUGUAUUCCCUUUUAACCGUUGCCUGAUCUUGUUCCAAGUGAUGACACGCCAUUGAUUUGAGAUGCAAUUCGUCUUCAUUUUAUUGAUCAAGAUUCACAGUAUUUCACAAGAUUGCUGGCUGGUUUUAUUGAUCGAGAUUCACAAUAAGACUGACAAAUGUGGACAUCAUUAAAACUCAUUUAUUGGAUUGUUUUGUUGUCUGGUUUGUAUUUUGACAAUAAGACUGACAAAUGUGGACAUCAUUAAAACUCAAUUCAUUCAUUUAUUGGAUUGUUUUGUUGUCUGGUUUGUAUUUUGAGAAUAGCUUUUUGUUUUUAUGUGAAUACGUUUGAUUGUUGUCUGUUCAACCACCUUUUUAUUGUAUCCAUGUGGGCUGGGGAGGUAGACAUUUUGUUUGGUCACAGUUGAAAAUUUAUAGAGGCUAUUGAAAAGGGGUUUGGUAAAUUCCAACUUUUUUGGUUUGGUAUGGUGUGAGUAUGUUUGAUUGUUGUCCGUUCAACGGUGGACAUUGGAGAUACACUUGGUUGGGAAGCAGACAUGUUUUUUGGUCACAGCUGAAAAUUUAUAGAGGCUGUGUUGGAAGGAUAAAUUACAUCUUCUUUGGGUCAGUAUGGUGUGAGUAUGUUUGAUUGUUGUGCGUUAAACAACCUUUUUGUUUAGAGAUGUGGACAUUGGGGAUCCACGUGGCUUGGGAAGACUUUUUUGGUCAUGGGUUGGAGUUUAGUGAUCUACGUGGCUAGGAGGGAGACUAUUAUGGUCACGACUGAAUAUUUUUAGAGGCUAUCGGAAGGAGCUUGAUGAAUUCCAAGUUAAUGGCUUCUUCACAUCGUCUUUAAUUUUCGAACUCCUCAAUUAUCUAAUUUGUUUCAUGUGUUCUAUAAGCAAAAGCAUACGAGUGAUUUUGUGAAAUUAUGUUUCUACCUUUUAUCUAGUUAUUGAUGAGGUCCACACGUUUGUUCAAACUUCUCGUAGUAUCGCUUUAUUUUUAUUUAUUUAUUUACUGCUCAAUGUUGCAUAGCAUCUUUGCAUUUGCUCGCGUAUGCACAUUAUUGGGCCUUGUUUUUUAGAACGAAAAUAACUUUCUAUGUGCUCAAAUCUUUCAGGGAUUGUGAAAAAUAAUUUUUAUACGCUGCCUUGAAGUUCGUUUUGAUGCCGAGCAUAUUGUCAAACAGUUGUUCACUUUGUCUCACUCCAAUUAGCAGGCUUUUCGGCAUUGGCUGCUCCUUACGCUUCCCCAAACGAAACUAUUUUGCAUGCUUUUUGGAAAAAAUGGCUAUAUGAACAGAAGUCCGCCGUAUCGUCUGGCUCGUCUCUAAUGGAGAAAAAUACCGAAACUAUUUUGCAUGCUUUUUUGAAAAAAUGGCUAUAUGAAUGGAAGUCCGCCGUAUCCGUGGUAUCGUCUUUUGUGGCAACGUCUCUCUAAUGGAAAAAACUCCAAAGGGUUUCUAACUGCAAAACACUGCGAUACGGGCGACCAUCACUUCUCAAUUCGUGAGCCAUUGUCAGGGCUUUUGUUCAUGUAGUCAUUUUUUCAAACAAGUAUACAAUCCGUUUCUCGCGACACAAUCCGUCGACACAAUCCGUCGCACUCUUUCCUUCUCCAAAUGGUCACAGAGUACAGUAGUCAUGGAAGUUCUUCAGAAGAUUUUUUUGAGGAUACCUCGGGGAUGACAAACUAUCAACUGCAACAUCGACGAGUUGGAAGGCAGAUAAAUUAGUGGUUUUCUCUAAUGUGUUCUUCAUUGUCGAUUGUAUUUCUACAGGACUAAUUCAAUUUCUGUUUAGAUGUAUUCUAGAAAAUGUUUUGACGAGGUAGUCUGAUUUUGCAAAGGCCACAUCGACGAGUUUGGAAGGCAGAUAAAUUAGUGGUUUUCUCUUAAAUGUGUUCUUCAUUGUCGAUUGUAUUUCUACAGAACUAAUCAUUCAGUUUCUGUUAUGUAUUCUAGAAAAUGUUUUGACGAGGUAGUGUGUGAUUCUGCAAGGGCGAUUUUUAGGAUACAUUUUAGAAACGUAGUAGUAAGGCUCUGUUGCACGUUUCAACAGCCUAAAUGCCGUUGUUACCCUCAGUAACGGCCGUAUCCCACGCCACCAUCAUGUUUUGAAAGGAGUCGUGUUGCCUUAAACUCUUAGGUUUCUGGUUUUUUUUUUCAUUUUCUGACACGUUUCUUUGUUUUGGUAUUUUCGUAAACAGUAUUUUAUUUCCUGAUUUCCUGAUUUCCUGAUUUAAGUGUUACGGAGGUGCAAGGUUCAACAUGCAAGAUUGUAGACCAUUGUGUGUUCCUUCCCAUCCAGAAGUAGAUUUUUUGUUGAGAAACUAAAGGAAGGUGGUUGAAGAAGUUUCACCGGACCAUCGAAGAUAGGUUUAAUUCAGGUCACCUUCACUAUAGAUAGUUUACUGGAUAGCCAAUCAGUAUUCUCCAUGCCCUCUUUCUCACAGAAAAAAAUGGAAUAUAGUUGGAUGGGUGGGAUCCAUAUUAUCCGUUUCUUGGUCCUAUAGUUGAAACGAAAUUAUUUGUUGCAAAUAAUUAUUUUUUGCAAAUUGUCUUACAUCCUCACUGGAGAUGGAAGAUGAGUAGAAUGCCUAACCAGAGUGCAGUUGAAAGGGUUUUUGCCAUGUAAAUCUCUCUAUGUUAUAUGAAUGUUAUUAUUAUGUUUAUUUC